rnacentral:ncRNA from 1 species
CAAAAGGCAGUGACAGGGAGAAGUAUCCCCCAUACCCCGGCAAAGAGAGAGGGCGGCUGGUGUGAGCCCUUGCGGGGAGGCGGAAGAACAGGCACCCUGGAGCCGCGGGGCGGAAAUGCCCUGCCGGUCCCCGCCGUUACCGGGUGAAGAGUGCGCGUCAGCCAGGCGCGAAUUCAGGUGGAACCACGGACUGAUUGUUCGCCCUGAGC